rnacentral:rRNA from 1 species
GACGAACGCUGGCGGCGUGCUUAACACAUGCAAGUCGAACGGAAAGGCCCCUUUGGGGGUACUCGAGUGGCGAACGGGUGAGUAACACGUGAGUAACCUGCCCUUGACUUCGGGAUAACUUCAGGAAACUGGGGCUAAUACCGGAUAGGAAUCCUUGCUGCAUGGUGGGGGUUGGAAAGCUUCGGCGGUUUUGGAUGGACUCGCGGCUUAUCAGCUUGUUGGUGGGGUAGUGGCUUACCAAGGCUUUGACGGGUAGCCGGCCUGAGAGGGCGACCGGCCACAAUGGGACUGAGAGACGGCCCAGACUCCUACGGGAGGCAGCAGUGGGGAAUAUUGCACAAUGGGCGGAAGCCUGAUGCAGCAACGCCGCGUGCGGGAUGACGGCCUUCGGGUUGUAAACCGCUUUCAGCAGGGGCGAAGCUUGUGGUGACGGUACCUGCAGAAGAAGCACCGGCUAACUACGUG